rnacentral:rRNA from 1 species
AUUGGUCAAUGGACGCAAGUCUGAACCAGCCAUGCCGCGUGAAGGAUGAAGGCCUUCUGGGUUGUAAACUUCUUUUAUUGGGGAAGAAACCUCCGAUUUCUAUUGGAGCCGACGGUACCCAAGGAAUAAGCACCGGCUAACUCCGUGCCAGCAGCCGCGGUAAUACGGAGGGUGCAAGCGUUAUCCGGAUUUACUGGGUUUAAAGGGUGCGUAGGCGGCCCGUUAAGUCCGUGGUGAAAGCCUCCAGCUCAACUGGAGAACUGCCAUGGAUACUGGCGGGCUUGAGUACAGACGAGGUUGGCGGAAUUGAAGAUGUAGCGGUGAAAUGCAUAGAUAUCUUCAAGAACACCGAUUGCGUAGGCAGCUAACUAGGCUGUAACUGACGCUGAGGCACGAAAGCGUGGGGAGCGAACAG